GAUGAAGAACGUAGCGAAAUGCGAUAAGUAAUGUGAAUUGCAGAAUUCAGUGAAUCAUCGAAUCUUUGAUCGCACAUUGCGCCCGCCAGUAUUCUGGCGGGCAUGCCUGUUCGAGCGUCAUUUCAACCCUCAGGCCCCCAGUGCCUGGUGUUGGGGAUCGGCCCAGCCUUCCUGUAAGGCCGCCGGCCCCGAAAUCUAGUGGCGGUCUCGCUGUAGUCCUCCUCUGCGUAGUAGCACAACCUCGCAGUUGGAACGCGGCGGUGGCCAUGCCGUUAAACACCCCACUUCUGAAAGUUGACCUCGGAUCAGGUAGGAAUACCCGCUGAACUUAAGCAUAUCAAUAAGCGGAGGA
rnacentral:misc_RNA from 1 species